rnacentral:lncRNA from 1 species
CACACAGGCAGGCAGAGCCAAGAUGUUCAUGGUGGCCGUGAAGCAAGCACUGAGCCAAGCUAACUUUGACACCUUUACCCAGGCCCUGCAGCACUAUAAGAGUUCUGAUGACUUUGAAGCCCUAGUGGCCUCUCUCACCUGCCUCUUUGCUGAAGACCCCAAGAAACACACCCUACUUAAAGGUUUCUACCAGUUUGUACGACCCCACCACAAGCAGCAGUUUGAGGACAUCUGCUUCCAGCUAACAGGCCAACGAUGUAGCUACCAGCCAGGAAACAGCCUUCCCUUUGGAGAGCAAGCACAGUCAACUGCCAGUAUGUGUUGUUGGCGAGGUGCGAAGAGGCCUGCAUAACCACCAUAGGGAAAUACUCCGUUGGACAUGCCCGGACUGGCCAGAAGUAGACAGCCCACCUGAUCAUGUGAGAAGUUGUGAUCUAAAUAAAGCCUGCUGUGUACACAGUUCUAUGGACAAC